rnacentral:rRNA from 1 species
GAUGAACGCUGGCGGCGUGCUUAACACAUGCAAGCCGAACGGAAAGGCCCAAGCUUGCUUGGGUACUCGAGUGGCGAACGGGUGAGUAACACGUGGGUGAUCUGCCCUGCACUUCGGGAUAAGCCUGGGAAACUGGGUCUAAUACCGGAUAGGACCACAUUUUGGAUGGUGUGGUGGAAAGUUUUUCGGUGUGGGAUGAGCUCGCGGCCUAUCAGCUUGUUGGUGGGGUAAUGGCCUACCAAGGCGUCGACGGGUAGCCGGCCUGAGAGGGUGUACGGCCACAUUGGGACUGAGAGACGGCCCAGACUCCUACGGGAGGCAGCAGUGGGGAAUAUUGCACAAUGGGCGCAAGCCUGAGGCAGCGACGCCGCGUGGGGGAUGACGGCCUUCGGGUUGUAAACUCCUUUCGCUAGGGACGAAGCGUUUUUGUGACGGUACCUGGAGAAGAAGCACCGGCUAACUAUGUG